rnacentral:pre_miRNA from 1 species
ACGGGUGUGCAUGCAGAUCAUGGUGUAAUAUAGCUCAUGAGAUCAUGCCACAUCUGUCU